GCUUGUAGAACGGCGUUGGAAAACAACGCUUUUUUCCUCUCAAUUCAUUUAUACUCUCAUUUUUCCUCAGCGGUCAGGUUUUUUUCCCCAUGUUGAACUGAUCUUCUUCAUAUUGAAGUGGCGAGCUGGUAGGAUCAUUCUUUCUUUUUGGAAUCGGGAAAUUAGCUAUUACCGUAAAUCCUCUAAUACAGGCCCGGGCCUGUAUUUGACUCAAGCUCAUCAAGCUGCAGGCCUUUAUUGGAAGGAGGGCCAGUAUUAGAGGCAGGCCUCUAUUUCUAUUUGAGCAAAAUGAACUAAUGGUUCACUGGAGUUUUUGACAAUUAAAAUUGCGCCCACAUUUUCAAAGUUAAACACAUUUCUUUUAACAACGGUAGUUUCUGCUUCAGCCCUCUCCCCCCUCCCCCUGCGCAGCGGCUGCAAACUCACUGAUGCGCCUGCAGCCUCUCGGAGUUCCUGCUGCUCUAAACAUUAAAAUAAUUAUUUCAUUUUCUGUUCCUCACUUCUGAUUACCUUCAAUGGUGUCUGUUUGUUGCAACCACCAGGUACAAAAACUAACUUGUUUUUAUUUGACUAUUUUUCUGUCCUGCCUGUUUAUUAUCUUCCUGCAUCUCCUCUCAAUCCUAAAGAGAAACUGCUACCUGUGUUCAUAUAUAUUGACCUUAUGAGUUACCUUUGAACUGCAGUUCUAAAAGAGCUACCGACCGCAAAAACAGUGGAGCGCUCCCUGCUUGGCGGGCGUAUCAUACAGUCCGAGCAAUAAACGCAGAAGUUCCAAACACCCGUUGUGUGCGAGAAGCAUCGAAAUGAACUGUUUAAUCUGCCCAUCAUUUGUGUUGAGAGAUCAGCAGUGUUUGGAUCAACAAAGGGCGACUACUUUGACAGUAGAAACUGUAUUUAUGGCUUAUUUUUGUGCAUUUAAAGUUCAGCCGCCAUUGAUAGUUGUUAAAAGUUGUUAAACCUGUGCAUAUGAAACAAAAAACGCCUUUUGUUUAUCGAUUUAUUGUGAAAAAAGGAAGUUGUGCUUGCUCCUUUUCCUGUUGGGCAGUUGUGAUUUCUGUCCAUUGACUGCGGAGGUGCUCCGGCGAAAAUAGGAUCGAU